UCGGAACCUCAAUCGUUGCUCACUCUAUUUCGCAAACCCUCAAUCGCCACUCCUCCCUCCGUGGUUCAGCACCCGUCGCGUUGCCGUCUCCCUCUCUGAAGUCGUCGCGCCGCCGGCUCCCUCUCCCUCACUCGUCGCACCUCCGUCAGCCAUGUUCAACGUUCACAAUGCCGUGCUGUGGUAGUGCUCAGCUACUGAUAUGUGGUGCUCAUUCUUUGAGUUCAUUCUUUGCUGAAUCUCGUUUGGCAGAGAAUACCUCUAGAUUUUUUGCAAGGUGGCAAAUUUAGAGCAGCAGCAGAUAAUUACAUUAGGCCUCCCCUAACUAAGGGAGUUCCAUCUCUUUUCUCUGAUCUUUAGUCUUUGUAUAAUCACCCUGGGAAGGCAGACAUUUUGGAAUAACUUAUUCUUGUAUUUUUUCACAACGCUCUUCAAGCUA